CUCUAUCAAUUUUCUCUUUUAAAAUAUACACAAGAAUAGAAGAAAUGGAUCAUCUUCUCCUAUUCACAAUAGGCCUAAUUGCAUUAUUACUAAACGAAAACAACCUCUCCCUUAUAAAAUUCUUUAUAUCUUUUUAUAUAAAACUUUACAAGUUUUACUAGUCUUUUAUUUAUUGAAACUUGGUUUUUUAUGCAUUUAAACCUAUGUGAGAUAGCAAUGAAAUAAGAAAAAGAAGAAGGAGAAGAAUGAUAGAGAGAGAGAGAGAGAGAGAGAGAGAGAAGUAAAAAGGGGGAAAAAGUAGAGAAAAUCUUUCAUUAACUAGACUAAUUCGCUUUUUAAUAAGAGUUAAAACUUCUUAGGCAGAACUUCAAUUUCCCCUUUUUAUAUAUUGAUUUGAAUGAUUUUUCUCAAUUUCCUUGUCUGUCUGUCCGUCUUUCUGACUGUUUGUUUGAUCUUUGUAAUCUGAUAACAACGUUUUCAACAUUAGGGCAAAGAUAAUGAUAUCAUUGAAAUUUCUAGGCAAAUGUUAAAAAAGUUAAAGAAUUCAAUAUACUAAAGUUGUUUAAUAGAGACUGGAUAAGGAGAGAUUGCAGCAGUAACUUUAUAUAGUUUAACAAAUAAACUUAAAAAAAGGGAAGAGUAUGAGCGCAUCCAGGGUGAAAUUUACCUUGCCUGAAAAUGAGAAAUCGAAAGAUGAUAUUGAUAAAAUUUUCAAUGGUCUUCCACCGAAAGUUGACAGUGCAAAGGCGGUUGAAAAGAGUUGCCACAGCAACGAUACUAUACAAGCGCAACCGUAUACUUUACACAUAAAUCCCGGAUUAAAUAAUCAUCUUUCGGAAGAAUCUUGGAAAACAUUAACCCAAGCAAAGUGUGUUUACGAAGAUCUUUUAUCACACCGAUGCUAUCGUUUAGACCAAAGACUACUAGAGAGAAAAGCUUAUUUGGAUGAGAAAAUCAAUGAUUUAUACAGAAAGGAGACAAAAGAGAGCGAGCAAGAGGCUAUGGAGUACGCGGUCAAAUGUCAAUAUCAGUUGCAAAUGCUGCAAGAGGCUAUUGUUAAAGAUUUAACGGGCAUGAUGAAAGAUUAUCAGGGUAAGCUGGAUCUAUUGACAGUUAGUCUGCUAAAAGCUACAAAAGGGGCGAGCGAAACGGACUUGUAAGAAGAAGAGGAAGAGAAAAUAAAAUAUCUUACAACAAGAAGAAAAUAUAUAUGUUAAAUGUCUGCAGUCUCUUAUCGUGUAAUUGUUAAGCUUCUUCAAUAUUCACUAUAUUUUUCUUAUAAGCAAAUUAAGGUGAGAGAAUUUUUUAUAUUUUCCCAAAAUUUCCUUUUCUUUCUGAAAGAAAAGAAAAAUCUCUAUUUAAAAUAUUUUUCUUUUAACUAAAACCGUCUCAAACAAAGAUUAUCUCUUAUACAAAGAGGGAAGAACGUUAGAGCAGUAGAAGGGCGAAAAAGCAAAAUACUUAUUUUUCACCCUUUCUCCAAUCAUUUACUCUUCCUUCUCCAUUUUCUUUUUAUUUUCCUUAAGGAAUUAAAGAUUAAAAAGAAAAGAUUAGUAAAGAGUAUUCAAGGUAAAAGUUUUAUCAGAUUUCGAUUAAUGGUAGGCAUUUUGGAUAUAUUUCAUCCAUUAAAACGUUAUUAAUAGUCUCUUAUAGAUAAGUUGUAUCGCUUUUUUUAUGUUCGUUCAGUCUUUUUAAUUCUUCUUUUCAACUAUACAUAAAGAAAGAUAUACUGAUAAUCUAUCCUUUUCUUUAUUCGUAUUCAGAGAGAGAGAGAGAGAAAUAGAUAGACAGACAGUUAGAUAGAUAGACAUAUUAACUGACAAAAACUAACGGUUAAUGCACUAAAUGUACACUUAUGUAUACGUUACAAUCGAACUUUAAUAGAGUACCUAAGGGAAUUCCUCUACUCUUUCGUCAUACUUAAUGACAUUUUUACUAUUGAUAAGGUUCAUUUCAUUCUAAGAGUAUUAAUUUAGCAUAAAUAGAAAUAUUAGGAGGAACAUCUGGACAUUUUUCUAAAUUUAUUUUAGUUUGUCUUGACAAAAAAUUUCUAAAAUUCUUUGAAUUCUUUAUACAAAAUAUAGACAAUCAAUUUAUCAGUAUAUCUCUAUCAUUUCCCAGCCAUUCAGAAAUUGGUUUAUACAUUCAAAGGGAUAUGAGAAAGUUUAAUAUUCGUCUAAACGAGCAUUUUAUGCAAACAAACGCUAUUAAGUACCAUCGUAACGAUCGUACAUUUACAUGUAUUUCAACACCAUAUGACGUCAUUUAAGGUCUCUAUGGAAAUAUAAAUUACGAAAAGUAAAACUAUUAACAAAAGCUUUUAUAAUUAGAAGGAAAAUUAUAGAUUUUUCUUCUAAAUGAAACGAAAAUAACAUUAAAUCCAUUACUUUACCGUGAGCUAACUGAAUGUUAUCUGGGUAACUGGGUGUUUGUAUACUUUUUUUCUUUCCUUCCUCCUCUUUCUUUACGGAGAGAGAGAGAGGAAGAAGAAGAAGAAGGGGAAGAAAGAAAGAAAGAGGGUACAAGUAUAAAUUUUUUAUUCUAUUUAUAUAGUUCUAAUAAUCAUUCGUCUAUUUUUUCGAAGUAAAUAAGAAGAACAAAUUGACGACAGUCUAUCGAUACCACACAUGGUCGUUGUACUUGAAUAGCAUAGAUACGCCUAUAAACUAACUAUCAUUCUUUUUAAAAUAAUAAACAUUGGCAAACUGACGACGGCGGGGGGGGGCAGAGGGGGGCCGAUAGAAGAUUUUAAAAAUUUGCAAUAAAUACAUAGGCCCAUUCAGAUUGAACACGUAAACAAUUUCCAUAUUACAGUCUGUACUGUAUAUAGAAAUCGUUAAAUGAAAAACUAAGUUAAACAGACGCAUAAGUCUCUCUCCUCUAGACGGCUUUGCCGAAAAACACAAAUAUUGAAUAGACGCUUGCUCAAAUAAAAUUGAGAAAACACAGCAUUAAAAACUGGUACACAGCAAUUUAGUAAAUCUUCUUCCCGUUAUUUUUUUGUUAUUUGAAUAUUUGAUGUAACGUUGAACAAUGAUUAUAUAGUUUUCUCUCACUCUAUCGUUUCCUCUUCUCUUCCGACCUUUUAACUUUGUAGUUUCUUAAGAUGAAACUUGAAUGAAGUUUGUUUGAAUAUUAAUAAGUAUUAUUGACGAAUCGACUAAUCAUUUAAUUGAAUAAUAUUGUAUAAUCUAUAUUGUAUAUAUACAUGUAUUAUCUUUACUAAUUUAUGGAUAAUUUAUCAUAUUUAUUACGUUAAUUACUUAAAUUAAUCAAAUAAAACGUUGGCCUACUUUGUUCAUGACAAUUUAGUGAAUAUAUGUAUUUAAAUGUAUUUUAUAUUAAACGUCAAAAAAGAAAAUGUUUGUUUUUUGUUUGUUUU
rnacentral:misc_RNA from 1 species